UACGAAGGGGGCUAGCGUUGUUCGGAAUUACUGGGCGUAAAGCGCGUGUAGGCGGGUCUUUAAGUCAGGGGUGAAAUGCCAAGGCUCAACCUUGGAACUGCCUUUGAUACUGGAGACCUUGAGUCCGGGAGAGGUGAGUGGAAUUGCGAGUGUAGAGGUGAAAAUUCGUAGAUAUUCGCAAGAACACCAGUGGCGAAGGCGGCUCACUGGCCCGGAACUGACGCUGAGACGCGAAAGCGUGGGGAGCAAACAGG
rnacentral:rRNA from 1 species